rnacentral:tRNA from 1 species
CCAACCUUGGCUCAGUUGGUAGAGCGGAGGACUGUAGAUCGUUAGGUUGCUGGUUCGAAUCCGGCAGGUUGGA